rnacentral:rRNA from 1 species
CCUACGGGUCGCACCAGUGGGGAAUAUUGGACAAUGGGCGAAAGCCUGAUCCAGCAAUGCCGCGUGUAUGAAGAAGGCCUUCGGGUUGUAAAGUACUUUCAGCGGGGAGGAAGGGAGUAAAGUUAAUACCUUUGCUCAUUGACGUUACCCGCAGAAGAAGCACCGGCUAACUCCGUGCCAGCAGCCGCGGUAAUACGGAGGGUGCAAGCGUUAAUCGGAAUUACUGGGCGUAAAGCGCACGCAGGCGGUUUGUUAAGUCAGAUGUGAAAUCCCCGGGCUCAACCUGGGAACUGCAUCUGAUACUGGCAAGCUUGAGUCUCGUAGAGGGGGGUAGAAUUCCAGGUGUAGCGGUGAAAUGCGUAGAGAUCUGGAGGAAUACCGGUGGCGAAGGCGGCCCCCUGGACGAAGACUGACGCUCAGGUGCGAAAGCGUGGGGAGCAAACAGGAUUAGAUACCCGCGUAGUC